rnacentral:misc_RNA from 1 species
GAUGAAGAACGUAGCGAAAUGCGAUAAGUAAUGUGAAUUGCAGAAUCCAGUGAAUCAUCGAAUCUUUGAACGCACAUUGCGCCCGCCAGCAUUCUGGCGGGCAUGCCUGUUCGAGCGUCAUUUCAACCCUCAAGCACAGCUUGGUGUUGGGACUCGCGUUAAUUCGCGUUCCCCAAAUUGAUUGGCGGUCACGUCGAGCUUCCAUAGCGUAGUAGUAAAACCCUCGUUACUGGUAAUCGUCGCGGCCACGCCGUUAAACCCCAACUUCUGAAUGUUGACCUCGGAUCAGGUAGGAAUACCCGCUGAACUUAAGCAUAUCAAUAAGCGGAGGA